AGUGAACGCUGGCGGUAGGCCUAACACAUGCAAGUCGAACGGCAGCACAGUAAGAGCUUGCUCUUACGGGUGGCGAGUGGCGGACAGGUGAGGAAUGCAUCGGAAUCUACUUUUUCGUGGGGGAUAACGUAGGGAAACUUACGCUAAUACCGCAUACGGCCUACGGGUGAAAGCAGGGGAUCUUCGGACCUUGCGCGAUUGAAUGAGCCGAUGUCGGAUUAGCUAGUUGGCGGGGUAAAGGCCCACCAAGGCGACGAUCCGUAGCUGGUCUGAGAGGGUGAUCAGCCACACUGGAACUGAGACACGGUCCAGACUCCUACGGGAGGCAGCAGUGGGGAAUAUUGGACAAUGGGCGCAAGCCUGAUCCAGCCAUACCGCGUGGGUGAAGAAAGCCUUCGGGUUGUAAAGCCCUUUUGUUGGGAAAGAAAAGCAGCAGGUUAAUACCCCGCUGUUCUGACGGUACCCAAAGAAUAAGCACCGGCUAACUUCGUG
rnacentral:rRNA from 1 species